AUACGGAGGAUCCGAGCGUUAUCCGGAAUUAUUGGGUUUAAAGGGUGCGUAGGCGGCAUUUUAAGUCAGGGGUGAAAUACAGCGGCUCAACCGUUGCAGUGCCCUUGAUACUGAAGUGCUUGAAUGUGGUCGAAGUAGGCGGAACGGGACAAGUAGCGGUGAAAUGCAUAGAUAUGUCCCAGAACCCCGAUUGCGAAGGCAGCUUCCUAGGCCAUUAUUGACGCUGAUGCACGAAAGCGUGGGGAUCGAACAGGAUUAGAUACCCUGGUAGUCCACGCCCUAAACGAUGAUGACUCGAUGUUAGCGAUAUACAGUUAGCGUCCAAGCGAAAGCGUUAAGUCAUCCACCUGGGGAGUACGGUCGCAAGACUGAA
rnacentral:rRNA from 1 species